UUGAUGUCGUGGGGCCUGAUGUGUGGUUCAAGUGAUGGGGUGACGCAGUGAGGUAGCCACGCCACUUAUUGGAUUGGUGGUGUAAGCGUGUAGAUCGUGUGGUAGGUAAAUCCGCCGCACAUUGUGGUUGAGACGUGAU
rnacentral:rRNA from 14 species